AUUGAACGCUGGCGGCAUGCUUUACACAUGCAAGUCGAGCGGCAGCGCGGGGGCAACCCUGGCGGCGAGCGGCGAACGGGUGAGUAACGCAUCGGAACGUAUCCUGUAGUGGGGAAUAACUCAUCGAAAGGUGAGCUAAUACCGCAUAAGCUCUGAGGAGGAAAGCGGGGGGACCGAAAGGCCUCGCGCUGCAGGAGCGGCCGAUGUCCGAUUAGCUAGUUGGUGAGGUAAAGGCUCACCAAGGCGACGAUCGGUAGCUGGUCUGAGAGGAUGAUCAGCCACACUGGGACUGAGACACGGCCCAGACUCCUACGGGAGGCAGCAGUGGGGAAUUUUGGACAAUGGGGGGAAACCCUGAUCCAGCCAUGCCGCGUGAGUGAAG
rnacentral:rRNA from 1 species